rnacentral:rRNA from 1 species
AGUUUGAUCCUGGCUCAGGACGAACGCUGGCGGCGUGCCUAACACAUGCAAGUCGAACGGAGUUAUUUCUUCGGAGAUAACUUAGUGGCGAACGGGUGAGUAACGCGUGAGAAACCUGCCUUUCAGUGGGGGACAACAGUUGGAAACGACUGCUAAUACCGCAUAAUGUCAAUUGGGGGCAUCCUCGAAUGACCAAAGAUUUAUUGCUGAAAGAUGGUCUCGCGUCUGAUUAGCUAGUUGGUGAGGUAACGGCUCACCAAGGCGACGAUCAGUAGCCGGUCUGAGAGGAUGAACGGCCACAUUGGGACUGAGAUACGGCCCAGACUCCUACGGGAGGCAGCAGUGGGGAAUAUUGGGCAAUGGGGGAGACCCUGACCCAGCAACGCCGCGUGAAGGAAGAAGGCCUUCGGGUUGUAAACUUCUUUUACCAGGGACGAAGAACGUGACGGUACCUGGAGAAAAAGCAACGGCUAACUACGUGCCAGCAGCCGCGGUAAUACGUAGGUUGCAAGCGUUGUCCGGAUUUACUGGGUGUAAAGGGCGUGUAGGCGGAGAUGCAAGUUGGGAGUGAAAUCCCGGGGCUCAACCCCGGAACUGCUUUCAAAACUGCAUCCCUUGAGUAUCGGAGAGGCAAGCGGAAUUCCCAGUGUAGCGGUGAAAUGCGUAGAUAUUAGGAGGAACACCAGUGGCGAAGGCGGCUUGCUGGACGACAACUGACGCUGAGGCGCGAAAGCGUGGGGAGCAAACAGGAUUAGAUACCCUGGUAGUCCACGCUGUAAACGAUGGAUACUAGGUGUAGGAGGUAUCGACCCCUUCUGUGCCGGAGUUAACACAAUAAGUAUCCCACCUGGGGAGUACGGUCGCAAGACUGAAACUCAAAGGAAUUGACGGGGGCCCGCACAAGCAGUGGAGUAUGUGGUUUAAUUCGAAGCAACGCGAAGAACCUUACCAGAACUUGACAUCCCCGGAAUCCUGCUGAGAAGCAGGAGUGCCUUCGGGAAUCGGGUGACAGGUGGUGCAUGGUUGUCGUCAGCUCGUGUCGUGAGAUGUUGGGUUAAGUCCCGCAACGAGCGCAACCCUUGUUGUUAGUUGCCAUCAUUUAGUUGGGCACUCUAACGAGACUGCCGGCGAUAAGUCGGAGGAAGGUGGGGAUGACGUCAAAUCAUCAUGCCCCUUAUGUUCUGGGCUACACACGUACUACAAUGGCUGAAAACAGAGGGAAGCGAAGUCGUGAGGCCAAGCAAAUCCCGAAAAACAGUCCCAGUUCAGAUUGCAGGCUGAAACCCGCCUGCAUGAAGGUGGAAUUGCUAGUAAUCGCGAAUCAGAAUGUCGCGGUGAAUACGUUCCCGGGCCUUGUACUCACCGCCCGUCA